AAUGCCCUGCUUCCAGGAAAAGCCUCUAAGCAUCAGGUAACAUCAAAUCGUACCCCAAACCGACACAGGUGGUCAGGUAGAGAAUACCAAGGCGCUUGAGAGAACUCGGGUGAAGGAACUAGGCAAAAUGGUGCCGUAACUUCGGGAGAAGGCACGCUGAUAUGUAGGUGAAGCGACUUGCUCGUGGAGCUGAAAUCAGUCGAAGAUACCAGCUGGCUGCAACUGUUUAUUAAAAACACAGCACUGUGCAAACACGAAAGUGGACGUAUACGGUGUGACGCCUGCCCGGUGCCGGAAGGUUAAUUGAUGGGGUCAGCGCAAGCGAAGCUCUUGAUCGAAGCCCCGGUAAACGGCGGCCGUAACUAUAACGGUCCUAAGGUAGCGAAAUUCCUUGUCGGGUAAGUUCCGACCUGCACGAAUGGCGUAAUGAUGGCCAGGCUGUCUCCACCCGAGACUCAGUGAAAUUGAACUCGCUGUGAAGAUGCAGUGUACCCGCGGCAAGACGGAAAGACCCCGUGAACCUUUACUAUAGCUUGACACUGAACAUUGAGCCUUGAUGUGUAGGAUAGGUGGGAGGCUUUGAAGUGUGGACGCCAGUCUGCAUGGAGCCGGCCUUGAAAUACCACCCUUUAAUGUUUGAUGUUCUAACGUUGGCCCGUAAUCCGGGUUGCGGACAGUGUCUGGUGGGUAGUUUGACUGGGGCGGUCUCCUCCUAAAGAGUAACGGAGGAGCACGAAGGUUGGCUAAUCCUGGUCGGACAUCAGGAGGUUAGUGCAAUGGCAUAAGCCAGCUUGACUGCGAGCGUGACGGCGCGAGCAGGUGCGAAAGCAGGUCAUAGUGAUCCGGUGGUUCUGAAUGGAAGGGCCAUCGCUCAACGGAUAAAAGGUACUCCGGGGAUAACAGGCUGAUACCGCCCAAGAGUUCAUAUCGACGGCGGUGUUUGGCACCUCGAUGUCGGCUCAUCACAUCCUGGGGCUGAAGUAGGUCCCAAGGGUAUGGCUGUUCGCCAUUUAAAGUGGUACGCGAGCUGGGUUUAGAACGUCGUGAGACAGUUCGGUCCCUAUCUGCCGUGGGCGCUGGAGAACUGAGGGGGGCUGCUCCUAGUACGAGAGGACCGGAGUGGACGCAUCACUGGUGUUCGGGUUGUCAUGCCAAUGGCACUGCCCGGUAGCUAAAUGCGGAAGAGAUAAGUGCUGAAAGCAUCUAAGCACGAAACUUGCCCCGAGAUGAGUUCUCCCUGACUCCUUGAGAGUCCUGAAGGAACGUUGAAGACGACGACGUUGAUAGGCCGGGUGUGUAAGCGCAGCGAUGCGUUGAGCUAACCGGUACUAAUGAACCGUGAGGCUUAACCUU
rnacentral:rRNA from 1 species